rnacentral:rRNA from 1 species
GCACGUACGCCAGUAUGUGUGGAGCCGUCCUUGAAAUACCACCCUUGUAGUGUUGAUGUUCUAACGUCGACCCCUAAUCGGGGUUGCGGACAGUGCCUGGUGGGUAGUUUGACUGGGGCGGUCUCCUCCCAAAGAGUAACGGAGGAGCACGAAGGUGGGCUAAUCACGGUUGGACAUCGUGAGGUUAGUGCAAUGGCAUAAGCCCGCUUGACUGCGAGAAUGACAAUUCGAGCAGGUGCGAAAGCAGGUCAUAGUGAUCCGGUGGUUCUGAAUGGAAGGGCCAUCGCUCAACGGAUAAAAGGUACUCCGGGGAUAACAGGCUGAUACCGCCCAAGAGUUCAUAUCGACGGCGGUGUUUGGCACCUCGAUGUCGGCUCAUCACAUCCUGGGGCUGAAGUCGGUCCCAAGGGUAUGGCUGUUCGCCAUUUAAAGUGGUACGCGAGCUGGGUUUAGAACGUCGUGAGACAGUUCGGUCCCUAUCUGCCGUGGGCGUUGGAAGAUUGAAGGGGGCUGCUCCUAGUACGAGAGGACCGGAGUGGACGAACCUCUGGUGUUCGGGUUGUGUCGCCAGACGCAUUGCCCGGUAGCUAAGUUCGGAAUCGAUAACCGCUGAAAGCAUCUAAGCGGGAAGCGAGCCCUGAGAUGAGUCUUCCCUGAUACUUUAAGUAUCCUAAAGGGUUGUCGGAGACUACGACGUUGAUAGGUCAGGUGUGUAAGUGCUGUGAGGCAUUGAGCUAACUGAUACUAAUUGCCCGUGAGGCUUAACCAUACAACACCCAAGGGGUUU